rnacentral:SRP_RNA from 17 species
GUGGCUAGGCUGGGAAGUUAGGCGUUUCCUGUAACUCGAAAUCGCCUUUGCGAGAGCCGAAAACUUGAGGGCGGUUUUAAAUUCUGUCGCCCAUUCUCAAGUUUUGUGUAGACAUUUCGUCCUUUGGGGUAAGAUGGAGGAGGAACCUUUUUUGUAAGAAAAAGACAAACCUCCCUUAUCUUUCGAACCCCGUCAGGCCCGGAAGGGAGCAGCGGUAGAAAGAACUUCAACGCUCAGAGGGUUGCGGAAUCGAGCAGAACUUGAGGUACAAUGGGUUUCAGGAUUUUUCACCCACCUCAAGGAAGCCACUUU